rnacentral:rRNA from 1 species
AGCGAACGCUGGCGGCAGGCUUAACACAUGCAAGUCGAACGGGCGUAGCAAUACGUCAGUGGCAGACGGGUGAGUAACGCGUGGGAACGUACCUUUUGGUUCGGAACAACCCAGGGAAACUUGGGCUAAUACCGGAUAAGCCCUUACGGGGAAAGAUUUAUCGCCGAAAGAUCGGCCCGCGUCUGAUUAGCUAGUUGGUGUGGUAACGGCGCACCAAGGCGACGAUCAGUAGCUGGUCUGAGAGGAUGAUCAGCCACAUUGGGACUGAGACACGGCCCAAACUCCUACGGGAGGCAGCAGUGGGGAAUAUUGGACAAUGGGCGCAAGCCUGAUCCAGCCAUGCCGCGUGAGUGAUGAAGGCCCUAGGGUUGUAAAGCUCUUUUGUGCGGGAAGAUAAUGACGGUACCGCAAGAAUAAGCCCCGGCUAACUUCGUGCCAGCAGCCGCCGCGGU